UGGGGAAUAUUGGGCAAUGGGCGCAAGCCUGACCCAGCAACGCCGCGUGAGGGAAGAAGGUUUUCGGAUUGUAAACCUCUGUCGCAGAUGACGAAACAAAUGACGGUAAUCUGUGAGGAAGCCCCGGCUAACUACGUGCCAGCAGCCGCGGUAAUACGUAGGGGGCGAGCGUUGUCCGGAAUUACUGGGCGUAAAGGGAGCGUAGGCGGUCGAUUAAGUUGGAUGUGAAAUACCCGGGCUUAACUUGGGGGGUGCAUCCAAUACUGGUUGACUAGAGUACAGGAGAGGAAAGCGGAAUUCCUAGUGUAGCGGUGAAAUGCAUAGAUAUUAGGAGGAACAUCGGUGGCGAAGGCGGCUUUCUGGACUGACACUGACGCUGAGGUUCGAAAGCGUGGGGAGCAAACA
rnacentral:rRNA from 1 species